rnacentral:rRNA from 1 species
GACAGAGGUGGCAAGCGUUGUUCGGAUUCAUUGGGUGUAAAGGGUGCGUAGGCGGUUUGGAUAGUCAGAUGUGAAAUCCUACAGCUUAACUGUAGAACUGCAUUUGAAACUUCCAGGCUAGAGUGCGGAAGAGGUGAAGGGAAUUCCCGGUGUAAGGGUGAAAUCUGCAGAUAUCGGGAAGAACACCAGUAGCGAAGGCGCUUCACUGGUCCGUUUCUGACGCUGAGUGCACGAAGGUGUGGGGAGCAAACGGGAUUAGAUACCCCGGUAGUCCACACAGUAAACUAUGUUCACUAGGUGUUGGGCGAGUUUCGACUCGUUCGGUGCCGCAGCUAACGCAUUAAGUGAACCACCUGGGGAGUACACUCGCAAGGGUGAA